UCUUUUUAAAAAAAAUUAUUAUUAUUUAUUUAUUUAUUUUUGAGAUGGAGUCUUGCUCUGUGACCCAGGCUGGAAUGCAAUGGCGCGAUCUCAGCUCACUGCAACCUCCGGCUCCUGGGUUCAAGCAAUCCUCCUGCCUCAGCCUCCCGAGUAGCUGGGACUACAGGCAUGCUGCCACCAUGCCUGGCUAAUUUUUGUAUUUUUAGUAGAGACGGGGUUUCACCAUCUUGGCCACACUGGUCUCGAACUCCUGAUCUCAUGUGAUCCGUCGGCCUCAGCCUCCCAAAGUGCUGGGAUUACAGGCAUGAGCCACCGUGCCUAGCCUGAAUGACCUUUUUAAUAUUGCUGCAUUAACAUUUGGCAGAGGAACUGGGUCAUUAUCUCCAUCAUCCAUUCCCAAAUUUUCCAACAUGAUUUUGAGAGUCACAGAUUGUUUGGCAAUUUCCACAUCAACUUCAAAUAGCUCUCCAUCAGAACUCAGCAACUUAAUUGAAGGUAUUAUGGGUGUUGGGUCUUAAGGAGACAGCCAGCUAGAGGCUAAGGAGAGCUUGACGGCCCCAGUGGAGAAAGAGGAAAGGCAGAGGACGGGGCCUCUGCAGCGAUGCAGCAUCUGCUCAAACAGGAUCAUUUUAAAUAGCAAUGUGUUAUACUAUGUAUGGAAAUAUAUCAGUGUGAUAUAGUAAACAGUGCCUGGGUGGGGGGUAGAUAAAUUAUAUUGGGUGAUCUGAGGAAGGACAUUUAAAGUCAUUCCUUUCUCCACUUUUUUCUUUUUUGAAAAAAAAUUUAGGACUGGACGCUGUAGGAGGGGUGACCUGGGAGGAAUGACCUUCCCAGCACUUUGGAAUGCCUCCUAGCACUUUGGGAGGCCAAGAUGGGCAGAUUGCUUGAGCUCAGGCAUUUGAGACCAGCCUGGGCAAAACAGUGAGACACCAUCUCUACCAAAAAUACAAGAAAUUAGCCGGGCGUGGUGGCGCAUGCCUGUAAUUCCAGCUACUCGGGAGGUUGAGGUGGGAGAAUCACUGGAACCAGGAAGGCAGAGGUUGCAGUGAGCGAAGACUGUGCCAUUGCACUCCAGCACUCCAGCUGUGUCUUUUGAGACACAGCAAGACUCUGUCUCAAAAGACAAACAAACAAAAAAACUAUUUUUAAUUAUUAUGCAUACAUGAAGUUGUACAUAGUUAUGGGAACUUCCUGCAUUUUUACCCUCCUAAUCCCAGAGGUACCUGUUUUCAGCUGGAAGACUCUUUGCCUCAGAGAGCUAUUGACAGCUUCCCUGAGCUGGAGAGAAGGAAACAAAAUAACCACAUCCUUUGGUCAAAGAGAUAUUUGAGUAAAGUUAAAAGUCCUGGCUUCUAGAAGGAAGUUUUUUUGCAGUACCUAGAUCAACACAUCCUGUAGCCAAUCUGAAAGGCUGUCCAAACAGGACCCAGAACAUAAGUCAGCAAUGGGUUAAGGGCUGUCAGUGGAGAAGGCGGUUUUAUUCCCCUGGUUUAGCCGUCAGGGGCUCGGCCCCCCACACGCAAGAGUUAAUAACCAAACAAUGACUGUCACUAAUUCACGGAAGGUUUGAAGCUGUUUUAGCCCCGAUGUGCUCUGUGCUCAGUCAUCCAGAAGUCACCUAGGGUGGAGGCGUUUCAUGGUCUGACACUUUGACACAAAGCCAUGUGACAAGCAAUCUCUCAAUGAUUCCUCCAAGGCCAGCAACUGUCCCACCCUGGCUGCCAAGUACAAUCUAUGACCCCCAUGCAUGCCCUCCAGCUGCCGACUCUCUCAGCAAAGUUACUUCUUUGUCCAUCAGCAUAUCUGGCAUUUUCCCCUAAAGGCUGGUUAUAAUACUUCCACCUGCUUCCAGCAAAAAUACUCAAGCAGAUUCCAAUUUUGCUUCACAUGCCGCAGGAAUGUGAAUAAUCCCAUUUAGGAAGAUGCUUGAUUAAGUUUUGAGAACCCGAAUCAACUUGGUCAUUCUUCAACCCCUAGAGCAGGGCUGUCAAGAGAAGAAACACUUCUACAUCAACUAUUGCCCAGAGAGGAGUCUUGUUAGGCUGGUUCCAAACAAAAGGAGUUCCUGUAAGAGGCAGUAAUGCGAUUUCCACAUACGAAGUCCCUUAGACCGGUGCAGACUCUUUGGCCCCAGUGAACGUGUGCUCCAGGAGACAGCUGGCCUCUGACAAAAACCAAUGUCCCCAACGCAGAGAGAAGAGAGAGCCUGUAUCAUCAGGACUAUUAUGUCAUUCAUCCUCCCAGCUGCCCAGCCUUAUAGGUGGAAAGACUCAAAAACCAAAUUUACUGAGCCAUUACCUAUAUGAAAAGUGUGUUAUCGACUGAGUGCAGUAGCUCACGCCUGUAAUCCCAACACUUUGGGAGGCCAAGGCAGGAGGAUCAUUUGAGGCCAGGACUUCAAGACCAGUCUGGGCAACAUAAGGAGACCCUGUUUCAAUUUUUUAAAAUUCUAAAGAAAAAGAAAAAUAUGUGAUCACAUCAUUUAACAGGUUUCCAGCUCUGCCGUAUUUAUACUAAAAAUCACUGGUGAUUCUGCAAGACAAAAAAAAAUUUAGUGACAUGUAGUUCUCCCAAUAUCUUUAUUGAGUUACAAAAUUACUAAUAACAUUCAUAGUCUUUCCCUCCAAGCUACCUUUCUUCUUGUGUCCAUAUAUCUGCCCAAAGUCAGAAGCUAAUUAUUCUUAGAAUAUUGUUUCGACUUUGCAAAAAUAAAAAUUAUUGUUUCAACUCUAAUACCCACUCAACCUCCACCCAAUCCAAUCAAUCAACAGCCCAAGUUGAUCCUAUCUCUGAAUUAACUCCUUUUUUGUUUGUUUGUUUGUUUAAUAGAGAUGAGGUCUCGCUAUGUUGCCCAGGCUGUUCACAAACUCCUAAGCCCAAGCAAUCCUCCUGCCUCAGCCUCCCUAAGUGCUGGGAUUAUAGCACUUAGUGAGCCACUGUACCCAACCUGAAUUAACUCUUUAACUCUUUUUUUGGGGGGGGUGGGACAGAGUCUCACUCCGUUGCCCAAGCUGAAGUGCAGUGACAUAUUCUCCACUCACUGCAACCUCAGCCUCCAGGGUUCAAGCGAUUCUCCUUCCUCAGCCUCCUGAGUAGUUGGGACCACAGGCCUGUGCCACCAACGCCUGGCUAUUUUUUGUAUCUUUAAUAGAGACAGGGUUUCACCGUGUUGGCCAGGCUGGUCUCGAACUCCUGACCUCAAGUGAUCUGCCCUCCUUGGCCUCCCAACGUGCUGCUGGAACUACACGCGUGAGCCACUGCACCCAGCCCUGAAUUAACUAUUGAAUCCGCAGCCCCUCCCCAGGCCUGGUACCACUGUUGUAGCUCAGGACCUGGCUGUGUCUCACUGGAAUAGUGAGUGUAAUAGCCCAGUGGGUUCACCUUGACCACUGCCUAGACAGAGCCAAUUUAUCAGGACAGGAAGAAUUGCAAUAGAGAAAACAGUAAAGAGUAAUUCAAGCAGAGUUAGCUGUGCAGGAGACCAGAGUCUUAUUAUUACUCAAAUCAGUCUCCCUGAGCAUAUGGGAAUCAGAGUUGUUGGUUUUUUUGAGAUAGAGUCUUGCUCUGUCACCCAGGCUAGAGUGCAGUGGCGCGAUCUCUCCGCCUCCCAGGUUCAUGCCAUUCUCCUGCCUCAGCCUCCCGAGUAGCUAGGACUACAGGCGCCCGCCACUGCACCUGGCUAAUUUUUUGUAUUUUUAGUAGAGAUGGGGUUUCACCGUGGUCUCGAUCUCCUGACCUCGUAAUCCACCUGCCUCAGGAAUCAGAGUUUUGAAGGAUAAUUUGGUGAGUAGGGGGACAGCCAGUGAGUCAGGAGUGUUGAUUGGUUGGGUCAGACAUGAACUCACCUGGGUGAAUUCCACAAGAACACAGAUGGAUGGGGGCCACAAGAUCAGAUGAGCCAAUUUAUGGAUCUGGGUGGUGCCAGCUGAUCCAUCAAGUCCAGGCUCUGCAAAAUAUCUCAAGCGCUGACCUCAGGCUUUAUAAAGUGAUGCUAUCUCCAGGAGCAAUUUGGGGAGGGUCAGAAUCUUGUAGCCUCCAGCUGCAUGACUCCUAAACCAUAAUUUCUAAUCUUUUGACUAAUUCAUUAGUCUACAAAGACACUCUAGUCCCCAGGCAAGAAAGGGGUUUGUUUUGGGAAAGGACUGUUAUCAUCUUUGUUCUAAACUAUAAACUGUAAGCUAAGUGCCUCCCAAAAUUGUACCUAGGAAUGAACAAGGACAGCUUGGAGGUUUAGAAGCAAGAUGGAAAUGGUUAGGUCAGAUCUCUUUCACUAUCCCAGACAUAAUUUUGCAACAGCGAUUUCAUGAGCAGUCCCAUAAUUGUGCUCCCUAGUACCAGUCUGGCUGCCUCCACCCUGCUAGUGUGAUGUUCUGGUCUUUUUUUUUUUUUUUUUGUCUGUUUUGAGACAGGUUCUCGCUCUGUUGCCCAGGCUGGAGUGCAGUGGUUGGAUCUCGGCUCACUACAACCUCCGCCUCCCAAGUUCAAGCGAUUCUCCUCAGCCUCCCAAUAGCUGGGAUUACAGGUGCGCACCACCACGCCCAGCUAAUUUUUGUAUUUUUAGUAGAGAUGGGCUUUCACCAUGUUGGUCAGGCUGGUCUCAAACUCCUGAUCUCAGGUGAUCCACCUGCCUCGGCCUCCCAAAGUGCCAGAAUUAUAGGCAUAAGCCACUGUCCCCAGCCUGUUUUUUUGGGCUUUGACACAGGGUCUCACUCUGUCACUUAGGCUAGAGUGCAGUGGCACGAUCACAGCUCACUGCAGCCUUGACCUCUUGGGCUCAAGCAAUCAUCCCACCCCUCAGCCUCCUAAGUAGCUGAGACUACAGGCAUGCACCACCACACCCAGCUAAUUUUUGUAUAUUUUGUAGAGGCAAGGUUUUGCCAUGUUGCCCAGGCUGGUCUUCAGCUCCUGGCUUAAGUGGUCCACCCACCCUGGCCUCUCAAAAUUCUAGGAUUACAGGUGUGAGCCACCACUGCACCCAGCCACGUGAUGUUCUAAACACAAAUCAGAACCCUGGCUCCGCAUCCACCAUAUACGAAGUCCAUGGUCUUUAGAAUGGCCCAUUGAGGCCAUUUCUUGCCUCCCCCAGGCCAACUUGGGGCCCCUCUCUCAGACCUUCACGUAUGUCCCCUGCACUGGGGAUUGCACAGCAUUUUAAUUCUUUGCUUGCAAAAUUAUCUCC
rnacentral:lncRNA from 1 species